rnacentral:tRNA from 1 species
GGAGUUGUGGCUUAGCAGUAGAGAGCGCUCACCUAGCACAUGUGAGGCCCUGGGUUCGAUCCUCAGCACCA